rnacentral:rRNA from 1 species
AGUGAACGCUGGCGGUAGGCCUAACACAUGCCAGUCGAACGGCAGCACAGUAAGAGCUUGCUCUUACGGGUGGCGAGUGGCGGACGGGUGAGGAAUACAUCGGAAUCUACUUUUUCGUGGGGGAUAACGUAGGGAAACUUACGCUAAUACCGCAUACGACCUACGGGUGAAAGCAGGGGAUCUUCGGACCUUGCGCGAUUGAAUGAGCCGAUGUCGGAUUAGCUAGUUGGCGGGGUAAAGGCCCACCAAGGCGACGAUCCGUAGCUGGUCUGAGAGGAUGAUCAGCCACACUGGAACUGAGACACGGUCCAGACUCCUACGGGAGGCAGCAGUGGGGAAUAUUGGACAAUGGGCGCAAGCCUGAUCCAGCCAUACCGCGUGGGUGAAGAAGGCCUUCGGGUUGUAAAGCCCUUUUGUUGGGAAAGAAAGCAGCAGGUUAAUACCCCGCUGUUCUGACGGUACCCAAAGAAUAAGCACCGGCUAACUUCGUG